UCGGGUGACGAGUGGCGGACGGGUGAGUAAUGUCUGGGAAACUGCCUGAUGGAGGGGGAUAACUACUGGAAACGGUAGCUAAUACCGCAUAACGUCGCAAGACCAAAGAGGGGGACCUUCGGGCCUCUUGCCAUCAGAUGUGCCCAGAUGGGAUUAGCUAGUAGGUGGGGUAACGGCUCACCUAGGCGACGAUCCCUAGCUGGUCUGAGAGGAUGACCAGCCACACUGGAACUGAGACACGGUCCAGACUCCUACGGGAGGCAGCAGUGGGGAAUAUUGCACAAUGGGCGCAAGCCUGAUGCAGCCAUGCCGCGUGUAUGAAGAAGGCCUUCGGGUUGUAAAGUACUUUCAGCGGGGAGGAAGGUGUUGUGGUUAAUAACCACAGCAAUUGACGUUACCCGCAGAAGAAGCACCGGCUAACUCCGUGCCAGCAGCCGCGGUAAUACGGAGGGUGCAAGCGUUAAUCGGAAUUACUGGGCGUAAAGCGCACGCAGGCGGUCUGUCAAGUCGGAUGUGAAAUCCCCGGGCUCAACCUGGGAACUGCAUUCGAAACUGGCAGGCUAGAGUCUUGUAGAGGGGGGUAGAAUUCCAGGUGUAGCGGUGAAAUGC
rnacentral:rRNA from 1 species